CCUUCUGUCCCCUUCUCAUUCUCAAUAAUAGUAACCAGAAUUUACUGACUGAUUACUAUUUAUGUAUCAGGCAUAGCAUGUGCCAGGCAUAGUU